AAUGGGCGAGAGCCUGAACCAGCCAAGUAGCGUGAAGGAUGACUGCCCUAUGGGUUGUAAACUUCUUUUAUAAAGGAAUAAAGUCGGGUAUGUAUACCCGUUUGCAUGUACUUUAUGAAUAAGGAUCGGCUAACUCCGUGCCAGCAGCCGCGGUAAUACGGAGGAUCCGAGCGUUAUCCGGAUUUAUUGGGUUUAAAGGGAGCGUAGAUGGAUGUUUAAGUCAGUUGUGAAAGUUUGCGGCUCAACCGUAAAAUUGCAGUUGAUACUGGAUAUCUUGAGUGCAGUUGAGGCAGGCGGAAUUCGUGGUGUAGCGGUGAAAUGCUUAGAUAUCACGAAGAACUCCGAUUGCGAAGGCAGCCUGCUAAGCUGCAACUGACAUUGAGGCUCGAAAGUGUGGGUAUCAAA
rnacentral:rRNA from 1 species